rnacentral:rRNA from 1 species
CAGUAGCCGCGGGAAUACGAAGGGGGCUAGCGUUGUUCGGAUUUACUGGGCGUAAAGCGCACGUAGGCGGACUUUUAAGUCAGGGGUGAAAUCCCGGGGCUCAACCCCGGAACUGCCUUUGAUACUGGGAGUCUUGAGUUCGAGAGAGGUGAGUGGAAUUGCGAGUGUAGAGGUGAAAUUCGUAGAUAUUCGCAGGAACACCAGUGGCGAAGGCGGCUCACUGGCUCGAUACUGACGCUGAGGUGCGAAAGCGUGGGGAGCAAACAGGAUUAGAUACCCGCGUAGUCCCUGUCUCUUAUAC